rnacentral:rRNA from 1 species
GUUUUGUAUGUACCAUCAGAAAAAGGACCGGCUAAUUCCGUGCCAGCAGCCGCGGUAAUACGGAAGGUCCGGGCGUUAUCCGGAUUUAUUGGGUUUAAAGGGAGCGUAGGUGGAAGAUUAAGUCAGCCUGUGAAAGUUUGCGGCUCAACCGUAAAAUUGCAGUUGAUACUGGUUUUCUUGAGUGCAGUAGAGGUGGGCGGAAUUCGUGGUUAGCGGUGAAAUGCUUAGAUAUCACGAAGAACUCCGAUUGCGAAGGCAGCUCACUGGAGCGCAACUGACGCUGAAGCUCGAAAGUGCGGGUAUCGAACAGGAUUAGAUACCCUGGUAGUCCGCACGGUAAACGAUGGAUGC